rnacentral:rRNA from 1 species
AUUGAACGCUGGCGGCAUGCCUUACACAUGCAAGUCGAACGGCAGCAUGAUCUAGCUUGCUAGAUUGAUGGCGAGUGGCGAACGGGUGAGUAAUACAUCGGAACGUGCCCUGUAGUGGGGGAUAACUAGUCGAAAGAUUAGCUAAUACCGCAUACGACCUGAGGGUGAAAGUGGGGGACCGCAAGGCCUCAUGCUAUAGGAGCGGCCGAUGUCUGAUUAGCUAGUUGGUGAGGUAAAGGCUCACCAAGGCGACGAUCAGUAGCUGGUCUGAGAGGACGAUCAGCCACACUGGGACUGAGACACGGCCCAGACUCCUUCGGGAGGCAGCAGUGGGGAAUUUUGGACAAUGGGCGAAAGCCUGAUCCAGCAAUGCCGCGUGUGUGAAGAAGGCCUUCGGGUUGUAAAGCACUUUUGUCCGGAAAGAAAUGGCUCUGGUUAAUACCUGGGGUCGAUGACGGUACCGGAAGAAUAAGGACCGGCUAACUACGUG